rnacentral:rRNA from 1 species
AACGAACGCUGGCGGCAGGCUUAACACAUGCAAGUCGAACGGGUGCAGCAAUGCAUCAGUGGCAGACGGGUGAGUAACACGUGGGAACCUUCCUAGGGGUACGGAACAACUCAGGGAAACUUGAGCUAAUACCGUAUACGUCCGUGAGGAGAAAGAUUUAUCGCCCUUAGACGGGCCCGCGUCGGAUUAGCUAGUUGGUGGGGUAACGGCCUACCAAGGCGACGAUCCGUAGCUGAUCUUAGAGGAUGAUCAGCCACACUGGGACUGAGACACGGGCCAGACUACGACGGGAGGCAGCAGUGGGGAAUCUUGGACAAUGGGGGCAACCCUGAUCCAGCCAUGCCGCGUGAGUGAAGAAGGUCUUCGGAUUGUAAAGCUCUUUUGCCAGGGACGAUAAUGACGGUACCUGGAGAAUAAGCCCCGGCAAACUUCGUGCCAGCCGCCGCAGUAACAC